UACGGGGGGAGCAAGCGUUGUUCGGAUUUACUGGGCGUAAAGGGCGCGUAGGCGGCGCAACAAGUCACUUGUGAAAUCUCCGGGCUUAACCCGGAGCGGUCAAGUGAUACUGUCGUGCUAGAGUGCGGAAGGGGCUACUGGAAUUCUCGGUGUAGCGGUGAAAUGCGUAGAUAUCGAGAGGAACACCUGCGGCGAAGGCGGGUAGCUGGGCCGACACUGACGCUGAUGUGCGAAAGCCAGGGGAGCGAACGGG
rnacentral:rRNA from 1 species